rnacentral:rRNA from 1 species
UACAGAGGGUGCGAGCGUUAAUCGGAAUUACUGGGCGUAAAGCGCACGUAGGUGGCGACGUAAGUCGGGUGUGAAAGCCCCGGGCUCAACCUGGGAAUUGCAUUCGAGACUGCAUUGCUGGAGUACGGAAGAGGGUCGCGGAAUUCCCGGUGUAGAGGUGAAAUUCGUAGAUAUCGGGAGGAACACCAGUGGCGAAGGCGGCGAUCUGGGUCGAUACUGACGCUGAGGUGCGAAAGCGUGGGGAGCAAACAGG